CUGUCAGUAGAAUGGGGCAAGAGUCAGGAGAGAAAGAGAGGGAGGGGAAACGGGCAAUGUGAUGUGAGCUUCCCAAAAUACAUGGGGUGGGGGCACGAACCAGAAGACAGGAGGAGCUGGGGGCUGAGGGAAUUAGGAUGUCAGGGAGCAGGCAGAUUUACACCUCAGAAGAGGCUAGCCCCAGUUCUAACCAUAAAUCUAUUAUUUAAAAGACAAAGGCCGCCACUUCACAUCCACUAGGAUAGCUAUUUAAAAAAAAAAACAAGUGUUGGCAAGGAUGGAGAGAAAUUUGAACCCUCCUACAUUGCUGGAGGGAACGCAAGAUGGUACAGCCUCUGUGGAAAACCGUUUGGCAGUUCCUCAAAAAGUUAAACAUAGAAUUACCAUACGACCCAGCAAUUACACUGCUAGGUACAAACCAAAAGACUUGAAAACAGGAACUCAAACAAAUACGCACACACACACAUUCUCAGCAGCACUGUUCACAGUAGCCAAAAGGCGGAAGUAGCCCAAAUGCCCGUUGAUGGAUGAAUGGAUACAUACAAUGUGGUAAAUCCAUACAAUGGAAUACUUCUCAGCCAUAAAAAGGCAUGAAGUACUGAUAUAUGCUACAAUGUGGAUAAACCUCAGAAAUAUUACGACGAGUGAAAGAAACCAGACACAAAAGGUCACAUAUGAUAUGAUUCCAGUUAUAAUAAGAAAUAUCCAGAACAGGUAUAUCCAUAGAGACAGAAAGCGGAUUGGUGGUUGCCAGGGAUUGGGGGAAGGGGGAAAUGGGGGAAUGACUAAUUAAUGGAUAUUAAUGGAUCUUUUGCAGUGAUGACAAAGUUUUGAAACUAGAUAGUUGUGAUGGUUGCACAGCAUUGUGAAUGCCACUGAACGGUACAAUUUACAAUGGUUAAUUUUAUGUCAUUUGAAUUUCACCUCAAAAAAAAAAAAAAAAAGACAAAGGCAAAACCUCCACUUCAAGCCUUAGCUGCUUCCCCUCCACACAAGACCGUCACGUGGGAAAGGAGGCCAUCUAUCCAUAAUCCCAGGCAAAUGCCCAUCCCAGGUUAUGUGGUCCCUAAGGCUGAGCGCAGACAGAGGCCUUUGCUCUUUGCAAGGCCAUAUCCAAGCCCUCACCCCAGAGCCAGGGCAACCAGGUAGGAUGGUGGUGAGCCCCACAGGAGCGUCUGGAUCCAGCAACACGAGAUGUCAGGUACUUGACUUCAACCCAGGUAGUCCACAAUAUGGAGGCCAACCAUGGCAGCGCCCAGCUAGGAAGCAUCCAGGGAGGCCCCUUCUCUGGCUGUCUCCUCACAGACAGGAAAGAAAAGCACUAAGGAACUGGGUGGGCUUCCUGCCCUUCUGCCUUUAUGGCAACACAGCUGCUAGUUUUGGUUCCUAUUCUUCAGUAGGGGGAGGAGGGUGCAGGUCCUUUAAGACAAUGAAAUACGCUGGACUCUGAUGUCAGUCCCACCAGCACUGCUGGGAGCUGGCACUCCAGAUUCCAGACCUGCUUCUGCCACUAAGUCAGCACGUGACUGGCUAAGCAAACUAUGAGGACAUGCGUGUCAUGGAAUACUACUCAGCCAUAAAAAGGAGCAAGCUAUCGAUAUAAGCAACAACUUAGAUGAAUCGCCAGAAAAUUAUACUAACGGGAAUAAAGCCAAUCCCAAAGGACUAUAUCCUGUAUGAUUCCAUUUAUAUAACAUUUUGAAAUGACAUAAUUUUAGAAACUGGAAAACAGAUUAGUGGCUGUCAGAGGUUAGGGAUCAUGGAGCUAUGGGUAGGUAUGGAGGCAGGAGGGAGAGGGCAUAGUUAUAAAAGGUGAACACAGGGAUGGCUGUGGUGAUGGAAUUGUCCUGUACCUUGGCUAUGGGACAUACACAUGGGAUAAAAUUAUAUACAACUCAACACACACACACACACAAAAGAGUUCACGUAAAACUGGGGAAACCUGAAUACAAUUGGUGGGUUUUAUUAAUGUCAAUAUCCUGGUUGGAACAUUAUACAAGAACUCCGUAAGGUGUUACUAUUGGGAAAAACUGAAUGAAGGGUACAUGGAAUCUCGCUGUAUUAUUUCUUACAGCUACAUGUGAAUCUACCAUUAUUCUCAAAUAAAAAGUCUAAUUGGCGCCUGAUCUCUAAAAUCUAUAUGCUUCUGUCAAAACUCAACCACAAAAAGACAAACAACCCAAUCAAGAAGUGGGCAAAAGAUAUGAACACACACUUCACUAAAGAAGAUAUUCAGGCAGCUAACAGAUACAUGAGAAAAUGCUCUCAAUCAUUAGCCAUUAGAGAAAUGCAAGUUAAAACUACGAUGAGAUUCCAUCUCACUCCAACAAGGCUGGCAUUAAUCCAAAAAACACAAAAUAAUAAAUGUUGGAGAGGCUGCGGAGAGAUUGGAACUCUUAUACACUGCUGGUGGAAAUGUAAAAUGCUACAACCACUUUGGAAAUCUAUCUGGCGUUAUCUUAAACAGUUAGAAAUAGAACUACCAGACAACCAACCCAGAAAUCCCACUCCUCGGAAUAUACCCUAGAGAAAUAAGAGCCUUC